UACGGGGGGGGUAAGCGUUGUUCGGAAUUACUGGGCGUAAAGGGCUCGUAGGCGGCCAACUAAGUCGGACGUGAAAUCCCUCAGCUUAACUGGGGAACUGCGUCCGAUACUGGAUGGCUUGGAUUCGGGAGAGGAAUGCGGAAUUCCAGGUGUAGCGGUGAAAUGCGUAGAUAUCUGGAGGAACACCGGUGGCGAAGGCGGCAUUCUGGACCGGCAUUGACGCUGAGGAGCGAAAGCCAGGGGAGCAAAGCGGG
rnacentral:rRNA from 1 species